rnacentral:rRNA from 1 species
AUUGAACGCUGGCGGCAUGCCUUACACAUGCAAGUCGAACGGCAGCACGGGAGCAAUCCUGGUGGCGAGUGGCGAACGGGUGAGUAAUAUAUCGGAACGUGCCCGGUCGUGGGGAUAACGUAGCGAAAGCUACGCUAAUACCGCAUACGAUCUACGGAUGAAAGCGGGGGAUCGCAAGACCUCGCGCGAUUGGAGCGGCCGAUAUCAGAUUAGGUAGUUGGUGAGGUAAAGGCUCACCAAGCCGACGAUCUGUAGCUGGUCUGAGAGGACGACCAGCCACACUGGGACUGAGACACGGCCCAGACUCCUACGGGAGGCAGCAGUGGGGAAUUUUGGACAAUGGGCGCAAGCCUGAUCCAGCAAUGCCGCGUGCAGGAUGAAGGCCUCGGUUGUUAACGUAGUACUUUGUUACGUACGAACGGUAGAG